rnacentral:lncRNA from 1 species
ACCACUCUUUCAGGUGAACCAGCAUCUCCCUGGUAGUCCUUAUAUCUUCAUGCUGUUGUUGAAGAUCAUUGGACAUAGACGCUAAGAUAUAGCACUUAGCCUUAUUAUCUUCAUUCAUCCACUUUUUAAGUGCAGCUCGUUGAUCAGCAGAUGGGCAAGUAGGUAACGCAGGUGCUUCCUGGUCGAGGAUAUGGGUGAGUUUUUUGGAAUUGAGAACAAUUCUCAAAUUUUGGAGUCAGUCUUUGUAAUUGAUGCCGGUCAACCUAUUUGUAUCAAGGAUUUGGGCUAAGGGG